AUGGGGUGACUGCGUACCUUUUGUAUAAUGGGUCAGCGACUUAUAUUCUGUAGCAAGGUUAACCGUAUAGGGGAGCCGGAGGGAAACCGAGUCUUAAUUGGGCGUUAAGUUGCAGGGUAUAGACCCGAAACCCGGUGAUCUAGCCAUGGGCAGGUUGAAGGUUGGGUAACACUAACUGGAGGACCGAACCGACUAAUGUUGAAAAAUUAGCGGAUGACCUGUGGCUGGGGGUGAAAGGCCAAUCAAACCGGGAGAUAGCUGGUUCUCCCCGAAAGCUAUUUAGGUAGCGCCUCGUGAAUUCAUCUCCGGGGGUAGAGCACUGUUUCGGCUAGGGGGCCAUCCCGGCUUACCAACCCGAUGCAAACUGCGAAUACCGGAGAAUGUUAUCACGGGAGACACACGGCGGGUGCUAACGUCCGUCGUGAAGAGGGAAACAACCCAGACCGCCAGCUAAGGUCCCAAAGUCAUGGUUAAGUGGGAAACGAUGUGGGAAGGCCCAGACAGCCAGGAUGUUGGCUUAGAAGCAGCCAUCAUUUAAAGAAAGCGUAAUAGCUCACUGGUCGAGUCGGCCUGCGCGGAAGAUGUAACGGGGCUAAACCAU
rnacentral:rRNA from 1 species